GGAUUAGAUACCCUGGUAGUCCACGCCGUAAACGAUGUCUACUAGCAGCUCGGUUCGUUUAGAACGGUUUUGCGCAGCUAACGCGUUAAGUAGACCGCCUGGGGAGUACGGCCGCAAGGUUAAAACUCAAAUGAAUUGACGGGGGCCCGCACAAGCGGUGGAGCAUGUGGUUUAAUUCGAUGCAACGCGAAGAACCUUACCAUCCCUUGACAUCCAGAGAACUUUCUAGAGAUAGAUUGGUGCCUUCGGGAGCUCUGAGACAGGUGCUGCAUGGCUGUCGUCAGCUCGUGUCG
rnacentral:rRNA from 1 species